rnacentral:rRNA from 1 species
CGUCUAUAUACGUAUAGCAUAUCAAUAAGCGGAGGAAAAGAAACUAACUAGGAUUCCCUCAGUAACGGCGAGUGAAGCGGGAAGAGCUCAAAUUUGAAAUCUUCAAGGUUCUACCUUGACGAAUUGUAGUUUAAAGAAGUGUUUUCUGUUGGAGUUUUGGUAAAAGUUCUUUGGAAUAGGACAUCAUAGAGGGUGAGAAUCCCGUAUUUGACCAUUAUUUCCAACUUUGUGAUACACUUUCAAAGAGUCGGAUUGUUUGGGAAUGCAGUCCAAAAUGGGUGGUAAAUUUCAUCUAAAGCUAAAUACUGGCGAGAGACCGAUAGCGAACAAGUACCGUGAGGGAAAGAUGAAAAGAACUUUGAAAAGAGAGUUAAACAGUACGUGAAAUUGUCAAAAGGGAAGCGUUUGACACCAGUGUUGUUUUCUCGAAAAUCAAUUAAAAAUGGCAGGAUUUUGUGUUGUAUUGACUUUAUCAGCUUUCUGCACUUUUUUCCUUGUCUUUUUUAAUGCACUUUUCGUUUAACAAGUCAACAUCAAUUUCUUUUGUUGUAAAAGGGUCAUUGGAAGGUGGCUUUCUUUUCGGAGAAAGUGUUUAUAGCCUUUGGCCUCUGCAAUCGGAGAGAUUGAGGUCUGCAGCGUAGAUCCUUCGGGGUUAGAUGCAUUUGUGCUAAGUUAUAGCCUUUCAUAGACAACUUGUUGACUAUGAUCAGUCAUGUAGCUUACUCGCUUAUGUUAUUUUACCUACGCUUAGGAUGUUGACGAUCAGCUGAGCGCG